CGGAAAGUUACCGAAGUAUACUUUGUCAUUUCCCUUUAAAAUUUUCGGCCGCGAAACGGGGUAGUUUUGUUUUUAUUGAUUGAGUGUUGAAAAGUGGAAGCAUGGAGACGGAGACAAUAGAUGACCGGUUGUUCGACUUAUUGGUCUCGUUUGAUUUGUUGGAGGCACAGCGAUACUUGCAAGGCGCCGGUGUACAUUUCGACUGUCUGGAAUAUAUCACCGCGGAGGAAAUUAAGGAGGCGAUUCCGCCAAUCGGAAUUUGAGUACUCUUCCGCGAAAAGCUGUUCGCUUGGAGGAAAACAAAGUUUACUCAAGGAAUAUCUUCGCAACCAUCGUCUCUAAAGCCAUCGCCACAAAAGGCACCGACAGCACUUUUAUCUCCGUUGCCGUCUAAUGCGCCUUAAUUCAAAUACACUCUUAACAAGAGCUUGAAUUCAAUUUUAAGUGGAACGGCUGCUGGAAAAGAACUUCUAGCAUGUAAAAUACUGACUGAAAAGCAAAGAGGCAUUCUCAUUAAUCUUAAUCUUAAAUGAAAAACAAUAAAAUCAACCUUCAAGUAAACAGCUUUACAAAUUUGUUGGACGAGCUCUCCAAUUUUUUCACACCUCCACUUCAUACUUAUGUCUUAAAAAUUGAUAAACAAAACUAUAAGAUUAAAUGAUAUUUAGAUUUAUAAUUUCGAAUAUAUAUGUAAAAAAAA